rnacentral:sRNA from 1 species
AUCAUUUACCUUCCGACUGAUCGGCCAGCAAACACCAUGGACGCUACCAACCCCGCAUAGUAACCUUUCUCUGUCUCUUGGUAACCAAAAAACUACAGGGGAAAAUAUGUUUAUAAGUAACUCAUGUGAGUCUAGUUGUAAACGCAGGAUUUAAAUAGUAAUAUUCAGUACCGGUAGUAUCAUAUACAGUAUCAUAUUUGGAGUAAAUAAUCUUUUUUAACAACUCUUUAACAAAAAUGUUUGGAAUUCGAGAAGACCUUGAAAGAGGAUUGCGAAGCAACAAAUUUAAUCUAUGUCAGUACAUGUAUAUACAUGUAUUUGUUUUACUUCCCUGUUAUUCAAAAUCAAUUGAAAGAAAUAUUUGUUGAAAAAAUUAUAUUUUCAUCACCAACUGCAACAUAAAUGACGUUUGUAUUAAACUGAAUAAUAAACAAAAGUUUAUAAAUGUUGUAACUUCCUUGGUACAAGUGAAUGUACACAUAUGUUACAUUUACUGCUGGUAAAUACAAAUUGCACUGUAAAUUUUGUACUGUAGUUGGCAACUUACCAGAAUCAUUUCUGGCAAGAAUGGGAAUAGGAAUGUAAGACUGAAUGAGCUGGUGAACUGAAAAAAAAAAUUGUUUUUCUUUUUUAAGAUUUGAUUUCAGAUUUGUUAUGUGCAGCAUACAAAUACAACACAGGCAUGUAGCAUCAAGGGGGGGGCAGGCCAACAGCAACUAAUUUUCUUUGAUUUACAUAUAAAAAAUUGAAUUAUCAUGGAGUUCCCCCCCCCCCCC